AGAGUUUGAUCAUGUCUCAGGACGAACGCUGGCGGCGCGCGUAACACAUGCAAGUCGAACGGAGUUAUUUUCUUCACUCCGAGCUUUUUGCCAGUUAGCCGGAGCGGCAAUCGGUUUUGCCCAGCAUAAAAAGCAAAACCGAUUUAGGCUCAUAAAGUAAGACUAACACAGAGGGCAGAGAGUUGGGAGUGAAGAAAAUAACUUAGUGGCGAACGGGUGAGUAACGCGUGAGUAACCUGCCCUGGAGUGGGGGACAACAGUUGGAAACGACUGCUAAUACCGCAUAAGCCCACGGCCCGGCAUCGGGCUGAGGGAAAAGGAUUUAUUCGCUUCAGGAUGGACUCGCGUCCAAUUAGCUAGUUGGUGAGGUAACGGCCCACCAAGGCGACGAUUGGUAGCCGGACUGAGAGGUUGAACGGCCACAUUGGGACUGAGACACGGCCCAGACUCCUACGGGAGGCAGCAGUGGGGGAUAUUGCACAAUGGGGGAAACCCUGAUGCAGCGACGCCGCGUGGAGGAAGAAGGUUUUCGGAUUGUAAACUCCUGUCGUUAGGGACGAUAAUGACGGUACCUAACAAGAAAGCACCGGCUAACUACGUGCCAGCAGCCGCGGUAAAACGUAGGGUGCAAGCGUUGUCCGGAAUCACUGGGUGUAAAGGGAGCGCAGGCGGACCGGCAAGUUGGAAGUGAAAACUAUGGGCUCAACCCAUAAAUUGCUUUCAAAACUGCUGGCCUUGAGUAGUGCAGAGGUAGGUGGAAUUCCCGGUGUAGCGGUGGAAUGCGUAGAUAUCGGGAGGAACACCAGUGGCGAAGGCGACCUACUGGGCACCAACUGACGCUGAGGCUCGAAAGCAUGGGUAGCAAACAGGAUUAGAUACCCUGGUAGUCCAUGCCGUAAACGAUGAUUACUAGGUGUUGGAGGAUUGACCCCUUCAGUGCCGCAGUUCACACCAUAAGUCAUCCACCUGGGGAGUA
rnacentral:rRNA from 1 species